GGCAUAAGAACACGCCGCUACUUUACUAUCACGUGGUUGUGAAGAAUUAGAGAAAUUCCAUGUGAUGUGACGUAGUGGAAUGCUUCUGUGU
rnacentral:pre_miRNA from 1 species